rnacentral:rRNA from 1 species
UGCGAAACUCGAAUGAACGAACGGGGAGAUUCAUCGUUAUUCAUAGGCGUGGCGGCGCGCUCUCGAUGGCGCCCUCGGCUCUUMCGGGUCGCGGGGCGUUACGGGGCGUGUCGCUUCGACGCUCUCUGACGGCGUGCACUUCUCCUUUAGUAAUACAUCGCGACCCGUUCGAUGUCGGUCUAAGCUCCGUUCGGGAGUCACUGUCGCACCUCUCGGGGCGCGGCGGUGACCGUGACGGUCGCCGACCGGCUGUCGGACGGUAUUUUGACGGAACGCGUACGCGUUUUAACGCGCGUCCGGCCCGACGCAAGGUUUCGCGUCUGUCACUCCCCGUCCUGCCCGAGUGCGGGCGGGGGUGCGGCGCGCCUGUCGUCGCAGCCGUGCUGUCUCGGACUGUGCGCGCACCGUGUCUGC